rnacentral:rRNA from 1 species
UGAGAGUUUGAUCCUGGCUCAGAGCGAACAUUGGCGGCGCGUUUAACACAUGCAAGUCGAGCGGGAAAGCUACCUUCGGGUAGUGAGUAUAGCGGCGAACGGGUGAGUAACGCGUGAGUGACCUGCCCUUAAGCGGGGGAUAGCCACGGGAAACUGUGGGUAAUACCGCAUGAGGUAUCUAAUGUUAGAGGUUAGAUAUCAAAGGUUGGACUUAUGUCCGAUCGCUGAAGGAUGGGCUCGCGUUCAAAUAGUUAGUUGGUGAGGUAAAGGCUUACCAAGACGAUGAUUGAUAGGGGAUGUGAGAGCAUGGUCCCCCACAUUGGGAUUGAGAUACGGCCCAAACUCCUACGGGAGGCAGCAGUGGAGAAUCUUGCACAAUGGGGGCAACCCUGAUGCAGCGACGCCGCGUGAAUGAAGAAGGCCUUACAGGUUGUAAAGUUCUUUUAUGCAGGAAGAACGGCAUUGUAUCGAACAGGUGCAGUGCGUGACGGUACUGCAUGAAUAAGUCACGGCUAACUCCGUGCCAGCAGCCGCGGUAAUACGGAGGUGGCGAAUGUUGCUCGGAAUCACUGGGCGUACAGGGCACGCAGGCGGAUAUUCAAGUCAAUAGUGAAAGUCAUAUGCCUAACGUGUGAAUUGCUAUUGAAACUGGAUAUCUAGAGUUUUGCAGAGGAUGACGGAACACCUGGAGUAGCGGUGAAAUGCGUAGAUAUCAGGUGGAACACCGACGGCGAAGGCAGUCAUCUAGGCAAAAACUGACGCUGAGGUGCGAAAGCUGGGGGAGCGAACAGGAUUAGAUACCCUGGUAGUCCCAGCCGUAAACGAUGAGUGCUAGAUAUAUGAGUGUUAGAACUUAUGUGUCGCAGCUAACGCAUUAAGCACUCCGCCUGGGGACUAUAAUCGCAAGGUUGAAACUCAAAGGAAUUGACGGGGGCCCGCACAAGCGGUGGAGCAUGUGGUUUAAUUCGAAGCAACGCGAAGAACCUUACCAGGGCUUGACAUGUUGGGAAGCUUUUAGAGAUAAGAGUGUGCCUCUUUAUAGAGGAGCCCGAACACAGGUGGUGCAUGGCUGUCGACAGCUCGUGUUGUGAGAUGUUGGGUUAAGUCCCGCAACGAGCGUAACCCUUUUCGUUAGUUGCCAGCAAGUGAAGUUGGGGACUCUAACGAGACUGCCUGCGCAAGCAGGAGGAAGGUGGGGACGACGUCAAGUCAUUAUGCCCCUUAUGUCCUGGGCUACACACGUGCUACAAUGGGUACGACAAAGGGCAGCUAAGCAGUGAUGUGAAGCGAAUCCCACAAACGUAUUCGUAGUUCGGAUUGCAGUCUGCAACUCGACUGCAUGAAGUUGGAAUCGCUAGUAAUCGCGGAUCAGCAAUGCCGCGGUGAAUGAGUUCCCGGGCCUUGUACACACCGCCCGUCACACCACCUGAGUUGGUAUUACCCGAAGCGAUUGGCCCGUAAGGGAGGUCGUUAAGGUAAAGCCGGCAAGGGGGGUGAAGUCGUAACAAGGUAGUGGUACCGGAAGGUGCUGCUGGAUCACCUCCUUUCU